rnacentral:rRNA from 1 species
GAUGAACGCUAGCGGCAGGCCUAACACAUGCAAGUCGAGGGGUAGAGGAAGCUUGCUUCCUUGAGACCGGCGCACGGGUGCGUAACGCGUAUGCAUUCUACCUUUUACAGAGGGAUAGCCCAGAGAAAUUUGGAUUAAUACCUCAUAGUAUCUUUGCCUGGCAUCGGGUGAUUAUUAAAGUUCCAACGGUAAAAGAUGAGCAUGCGUCCUAUUAGCUAGAUGGUAAGGUAACGGCUUACCAUGGCAACGAUAGGUAGGGGUCCUGAGAGGGAGAUCCCCAACACUGGGACUGGGACACGGACCAGACGCCUACGGGAGGCAGCAGAGAGGAAUGUUGGACAAUGGGCGCAAACCUGAUCGAGCCAUGCCGCGUGCAGGAAGGCGGUCCUAUGGAAUGUAAACUGCUUUUGUACGGGAAGAAACACUCCCUCGUGAGGGAGCUUGACGGUACCGUAAGAAUAAGGAUCGGCUAACUCCGUGCCAGCCGCCGCAGUAACAC